UGUGGGAGCGAGCUUGCUCGCGAUAGCGUUGGAUUCGUCACUUUCAAUGUUGCCAGUGCCGACGUCAUCGCGAGCAAGCUCGCUCCCGCA
rnacentral:misc_RNA from 1 species